rnacentral:lncRNA from 1 species
ACACUUUCGGGAACCAAUUAUGUGUGAAAGUCGAGGGCCAUCUGUAAUCACAAAUAAAGAAUAAUAAACAAAAACAAAUUUAACUUAAGUAAACAACGACUAAAAGGUCAGAAAAACCUUAAACAUUAAGUAACUAUAAAUAACUAAUGGUCAGUUUCCUAUAAAUAACUUUAUAGGAAACUGACCAGUGCAGCUGUCUUAAUACCAGAAUGGUCUGAUGACAGAUGGAGCCACAAGAAAGUGGCUAUACGAUCACUCUUAAGAAGGGUUCUUACUCAUUGCACUAAAGAAAACGACUUUAAGAAAGAACUUUCAGUGAUAAAAGAAAUAGCAGAGAGGCAUGGGUACAAGAUAUCCAUGGUAGAUAAAAUGCUGAAAGAGUUAAAAUACAAAAGAAGUAACACCCAGUCUAUGGAAGCACAUGGUGACAGUCAGAUACGCAAUGACCGCCACCAAGAUAAUUUUCAAGGAUACGUCAUAAUACCAGAGCCCUUGAGAGACUUAAAAACAGUAAGGAAUUUAAUAACCAAAACUAAAAGAAGUAGUACAUACAGGAGACCACCUAUUCUGUUCAAUCUGCUUAGGAACAACAAAGAAGAAAG